GGCGCACGGGUGAGUAACACGUGAGUAAUUUCCCUCUAAGCUUGGGAUAACAUUGCGAAAGCAGUGCUAAUACCAAAUAAGACCACGGUAUCAUAUGAUACAGUGGGAAAAGGUGGCCUCUGUAUAUGCUAUCACUUGGAGAUGAGCUCGCGGACCAUUAGCUUGUUGGUAGGGUAACGGCCUACCAAGGCGAAGAUGGUUAGCUGGUCUGAGAGGAUGAUCAGCCACACUGGAACUGAGACACGGUCCAGACUCCUACGGGAGGCAGCAGUGGGGAAUAUUGCGCAAUGGGGGAAACCCUGACGCAGUGACGCCGUGUGAGUGAUGAAGGUCUCCGGAUCGUAAAGCUCUGUCAGAUGGGAAGAAUAAAGGCAGGGAAAAUAUUUCUGCAUGAUGACGGUACCAUCAGAGGAAGCACCGGCUAACUCCGUGCCAGCAGCCGCGGUAAUACGGAGGGUGCAAACGUUGUUCGGAAUUACUGGGCGUAAAGCGCAUGUAGGCGGAUAUGUAGGUCAGAUGUGAAAGCCCUUGGCUCAACCAAGGAAGUGCAUCUGAAACCACAUAUCUUGAGUAUGACAGAGGGAAGUGGAAUUCCC
rnacentral:rRNA from 1 species